UACGGAGGGUGCAAGCGUUAUCCGGAUUUACUGGGUUUAAAGGGUGUGUAGGCGGGUCUUUAAGUCAGUGGUGAAAUCUCCGAGCUCAACUUGGAAACUGCCAUUGAUACUAUUGAUCUUGAAUUUUGUUGAGGUAGGCGGAAUAAGUCAUGUAGCGGUGAAAUGCAUAGAUAUGACUUAGAACACCAAUUGCGAAGGCAGCUUGCUAACCAAAUAUUGACGCUGAGGCACGAAAGCGUGGGGAUCAAACAGG
rnacentral:rRNA from 1 species